GUUUGAUGCAGGCCCAUUUGUUUAUUUUUACUUUUGUUGCUUAGUUCUUAUUUUUUGUUGUCUGCUUUUGCCACAUUGUGACUGACUCUUCUUUUGUCCGAAAGACAGGACACUGGCUGGUUAAUUAUGAGAGUAAAAUUCACCACACAAACCCAGCAGAAAGAUUGUGGGGAAAACCAUUUCAGUUUAGGGUUAGACCCACCAGUUAGCGUUUCUCUUCACUUGCAGUUGAAAACACCUUAAUAUUGUGACAGAUAUUUAACAAGGAUAAGAUGAUAGUGGGAGACUCCUUCCAUACAAACCCAAUCUCCCCUAGAUUUGGAGUCUCAAUUAGAAAAAAUUAACUUCAAGAAAACAGUUUACCAAAAAUGUUUAAAUUCCUAGGUGAAAGAGGCUUUCUUACUCUUUUCUUUUGUUCUAGGCUCUGACCCCAUGGAAUAAAAGAGACCCUAUUUAGGGACAGUUAGUUUUGCUGCCCAGAAGAUUCUCUCUCUUCUCUGGUGGGCUUUUAGAAACCUUUGGGUUACUUGAAUCCCAAAUUAACCCAUGUUGUGCAACAUGUAAUCAAUUAGGGAGAUUUUUCAAUGGAAAUCAUCCAAUUUUGUAAGAAUUGGUUGACACGUUUCCCCUUUCUAAUAUGAUACACUUCCAUAGCUUCAUUCAUUCCUCUCCUAAUACUCUCUCAAAUAGAAGUUUCAAAUCAUUUGCCGUUUAGCAAGUGUUUUCUCCUAUCUUGUGAUUUACUCCUGUAACAUUUAAAGUAGACUCUGCAGUUUACUGGAAGGUGUGACUAUGAUGCAAAUUCAGCCCUCCUGGCCUGUUCACAAUGGAAGUUUUGCCGUAAAAGAUGAAUUACGAUGUAAUAGCUGAGUAGAACUAAAAAAGUCAAUGCAGUUGCCCUUUGGUGCAUUUGGGGGCUAAUGAUAUUUAAGUCAAUACGGCUGAAAAAGAAAAAUAAAUGUCAAACCAAAUACCAAAGAAUGAAUAACCUACUGCGAGAUUGCUAGAAUCAUAAGCAGUUACCGAUGCUCUAAGAUUGCUCUGAGAGCCCCGUCAAUACACUGGUCUCACGGUAAUUAAAAAAUUCUAAAAAGCCAAUACUUAUUUUGUCAAAGACACAAAUGGAAAUCCAACCUGGAAUGUGAACAAAUUAAGAGUUCUGAUUGUGCUCAAGCUGGGGCAGUUAGCAAUUAUUCUUGAAAGAAUAUUUCUGCCGAGAACUUUCUUCUAAAACUCAAAAUACUAGAGAAUCACACAAGCUGGAAAGGACUUAAGAAACUAUUUAGUUGCUUCAUUUUAUAUAUUUGGAAGCUGUGGCUCAGAAAGGUUACGUGACUUGCCCAUGGUCACGUUGCCAUGUGACUGUGACUCUUGGCUGGCCCGGUGAUCUUUAAAUUUGCUUAUCUUGAGGUCCUUGUCUUAUGUAUCAUCCCAAUUCUCUCUUCUAUUGUAAAAGAGCUCCUCCUUUAAAAAAUCCUGUCUCUUUGGCAUAUUAAUUACUUUAAGCUGGUUAUUUUCUAGGAAACCGCAGACAUGGGAAAAAUUCUGAAAACUAAUUAGGAGUUACCCUUUUGUAAGAAACGUUUAUAUUUGUAAGGGAAAUCUCUAUAUGCAAGGGUGUCUCCUUCCAUGUACCAGGAAGAGAAAGAUGACCAAAUCUCUAGAAAUUCUUAACCAUGAGGAAGGCAAUGACUUAAAUCUGCAUAACGCCCUUACCAUUGUUUACUGUGCUUUUCCUGAUAAGCUCCCAUCAGAGAGUUACUGACUCUCCCAUCCUCAACAUCCUCUUUUGUCGUUAGCUGAAGAUGGUAUUUAAGAUGAGGGCUCAGUUCUCCUUUGUCUCUCCCGUGUAUUCACGUGACUCAACUUUUUGUUUGAUUUUCUCCUGUUAAUGUGUCUCAUGUCAAUUUACUUCUUAGACCAGCCCGAAGAACUUAGAAGGGUAGAGGAAAAUACCUUCCUCCCUGAUACAGUGUUAUAAUGGAAGUGUUGAAUGGAUGUCCCCUUGGCUCUAACACAUAAAUAAGUAAGGUGAAUUCUACAGAGAGAUCAUAGGCCAUAGGGCUUUCAGUGAGGCCAGACUGGCAGCUCCUCCGUAGGAGCUGGAUACGGGCUCACAGGUGUUCAGUGAAAAAGAUAGCAAUCCAACAUCCACAGCCUGCACAGGAAUAAAAGAAACCAAGGAAACUGAGUAUUCACAGCCCUUUAAAUAAGAAGGCCAGGCCCAUAUCAAAAGCCAGAGAACAGAGAUGGAAGAACUUGAAUACCAAAGACAGGAAAAUGGACAGAGAUAUCAGGAGAAUGAAGAAAGAGGGUGACAUCAAAGAUGACCAGAUGUUGUCAAAAGGCUGGGAGUAAAAAGCAGGCACUUGAUCCCAAGCUGGUGAGUAAACAGAAUGGGCCAACUGGUAAACCUUUUGGCCCUAGGAUUAUGCUGGGUCUAGUGGAGAAACCUUGGUCUCAAAGUCGAGUCCCAACUCUAGCCAUGCCUCCUUCAUCCAUUGAUUCGUUCAUGUAAUAUUUAUGAACACACACUGUGCGCCAGGAGCUCUAUUACGUGCUAGGGGAUAAAUCCAUGAAUAAGACAGACAUAGUUCCUGUCUUUACAGUCUAUCAGGGAGACAGACAUCACCUAAAUCACUACACAAACAAUCAUUUAUUUACCUUGUGGCAAAAGUUAUGAAAGGCAAGCACAGCAUACAGUGAGAAUUCAUAAAAGGGGCAUCUCACUUGGCUUGAAGACACGGGGAAGUUGUGGUAUCCGUUUUUAAAAUGGAAACAGAUAUCUAAUGGAAGGCAGGUAAUUUGCAUUUUAGGUGUAUAAACACACCAACCGUUACUAAGCAGUAAUAUCAAACAGAAUCGUAUACCUGAACGGACCAUGUGUACUAGAAACCCAGUGAGGAGGGGGAGAAAGGGACUCCACUGGGGAAGCCAGAGGACACAGGAGAAGUUGGGUCCCCAGCGCUGCUGGAUGAAAGCAGAGGUGAAGCUCCUUCUCACUUUCACUUAGAACCAGAAAUAGGUCGCUGAGCAUGAAUAAGGCUGCAGUGCAGCCAGUCAGUCUCUGUCUGAACUCAAUGCCCCGGUUCUGGUUCCCAGCCCGCGUUUUGGUUUCCCUGGUACUGAGGACUGCCGUGCACCCUACUUCCUUCUCAGCCCGCUUAACCCAGCUUCUCUGAACUGUCCCCAGGCUUCUGGAUAUUGCUCACCUAUGUGCUGGAUCUCUGCAGGUAAGAAUCAGGACUGGACAGAGUCUGGGUCUUACGCGGUGAUGCCUUGCUGCUUAGAGACUGACCCUUCUGUUUUUGAUGUAUCUUUGAAUUCAUUCUCCCAUGGCCAGACCCCACAGCACUACAGAAUUCCAAGGAUGUCCACCCCUGUAAGAUCAGGUACUAGAACUCCAGGUUCUGCUACUUCAACUGGAUUCCUUGCAAGCUCAUGACUAUGUAUGACUCGAUCCAGUCAUGAGUCUCUUCCUAGGUAAAGUGAGUAAAUCAAUCAAUCUGUAUUUUAACAGAUACCUUCUGAAAACAUGCUUCAGCCAAAAGUGGAAUUCUAAGGGUAGACACAUGGGCAUGGUGGGGUAGAGCAGAGGUUUGUGGGUGGGGGACUUUGGGUACCUAAGUAGCACACCACACGCUGGAUCAACCACCCCCAUCCAUCCCUUACGGAUACAGCAGACGCGCCCUCCAAGAGCCAAAGUGGGUGUGCAGAACGCAUGCCCUAGAAAGGAAGAGAACUUGGUAAUGGUUUCUUAGGAGAAAUAAACCCCAAGUGGAAGUGGACAUUUGAGCAGAGUUUUAAAAGAAAAGUCAGGCUGGCACACCAGAAGCCUCCUGGGGUGAGGUUGAACCUCUGCAAAGCUCUGGUUUCUCAUUGCCCAUCUUGUUUUUCUCAGUUACAAAUCAGUCUGGCCCUUCCCUGUUUUCUUUCAUCAUCCUCCAUCCUUAGAGAGAUCAUCUCAGCCCAGAGACAGACAGCUAUUAUUCUGGCUUCUGGUUUGUAUUGUGUUAACUGCCUGAGAAGAUGUGCUGUCCAUCUCCUCGGGUAUAAAAUGGGGAUAACACCCCUAUCCUGGUAUGGUUGUUGUAAGACGGGAACGUGAGGGGAAUUAAACAAAGUUGAGUUCCUGCCCCCUUGCCAAAAAUACUUUGACUAAUUUCGAAUACUUUGUUUGUUCAGUGAUUAUUUAUUGAGCACCUACUAUGGGCCAGGCACUGUUCUGAGUACCGUAGAGGUAGCAGUGGGUAAGAUAAAGUUCCUGUCGUUGUAAGGCUGACUUUCUAUUGGGAAGAAAUAGGUAAGGACCUGGUAAGCAAAUACAUAAUAUAAACUCAGAUCAUCAGUGAAGAUAACAAAUAGGACAAUGAAGUAGAGAAUGACUGUGGGGUUGGAAGGAUCACAUACACAUCUUUCCGUGCUAAGCUAAGAUUUUAAACCAGUGUGCUCAAUUUUCCCAUAAGUGAUCAGACUGAUAAAUACAGUGAUUAAUACUCCAGGACUGACUACUACCAGAUCAUCUUCCAGACCAUGGGUCCUGAAUGGGGGUGGCAGACCUUAGUCUCUGCCUUCAAGUUGCAUUUGCAUAGCAGGCUGAUCAGAGGGCCCAGGUGUAACUUGCCAUCUCAGUAGACCCUGAUGUCCACAGAGGGGCCACAUGAGGUUAAACCCAGGACCAGGUAUUUCAAGGGUGGCUGGCAGGGCUCUGCCUGCUUGUACACAGAACACCAGAAGUUAAACUGAGGUCUCUGACCCCUAGGUCCUUGGAGCCCCGGGGAGGCUACUGCUUUGUGUAGAUGAAGCUAAAGCCAGAAUCGUGACUGAAUUACAACCAGGAAACCACGUGUGGCAGCUGAACUGCUGGAGGUGUUGAGCCAGGACAGAGCAGCUCAGAACUGAGGCGCAAGAGAGGGUUGAACACAGCUGGAUUGGAAGUCAGACGGUCUACUAGCUCCAGAGGGCAUGCCCUUCAAAGCCUGGUGUGCUUGGAACCUGAAGGCUCUCAAAUCACCAGGGGCAGUGGAGAGCCGGGAGAAGCCUGCUGGCAUCUUAGGACAGCAAUCACUAGAGGAUUCUCCAUCUUGCUUCUUUGGAGCCAGGGGAAAGCAGGAGCAGCCAGCAUGCAGGCGACCAUUUACCCUUUCCAGGCCUGGGAGAGAGAAAAAGCAGCUGACCCAAGGCCCUGGGCCCUCAGCUCUCAUGAGCUGACAUCCGAGAAUCAGCUGUGUGUAGUGGGGAACACGGCUGACUUGGAAUCUGAAAGCCAGGCAGGAAUGUGAAUAUUUGAUUUCAAUCUGGGAAAAUUCCAGAGGACUAAAUUCAGAGGAUUUAUGAACACCAUCAUAUCCAAACAACUGGAUUUCGUUGACAAACACAGACUUAUUUUGUAGCUCAAACUGGGACAUUUCAACUAUAUUAAAAGGCAAAGAUAAAGAAAUGGAAACAGUAGAUAGAAUGCAACUCACAGAGCUUCCACAUAUAUGUUUAUUUUACUCUGGUUAACGUUUAAGCCUCAGGAGUCCAAAAAUAAGUUAGAAUCAUAGACAGCAUCAUUUCCUAAAGCCGUGUUCUCUUCCUAUACACCCUCCAAAGCCACACAAAAGUACAAGAUGGACCUCAUCUACUCGUAACAGGGAGAGAGCAGCAUUUUCUCAGAUCCAGGUGGAGCUUUCCAGAAAGAGCUUCCCAAUCUUCAUGACCAUAACCACGGUGUCCAAGAUGAUAGCUGGAAAAUAAGGUUAAAUACCAUUAUACGAAACUUUCCAUAACUUGGAUGCCAGCAGCCCUAGCUUCCAUUCCAUCUGUAAUCUGGUUUCUCUACCUCAUUUAAUAUUUUACUACCAUUUUUAUGUACAUGGAAGUACUUCACAGAAGUAAUGAAUGUCUUAACUAUACAUAAGGCCUUUCCACGUAGGACUAUUAGGUUCAGCAUUAUUCUGCUGGGUGCUGCAAGGCCCUUUGUUGUGUCCAGGUUUCUGUGCUUAUACAGCAGGAUGCCGGAAUCUUAAAAGGAAGCAGAAGGCUGAAGACUAAAGGUCACCGUGCAACCCGGUCAGUGACGAGGAUUCAGCUGGUGACUGAGUCAUCCUUGACCCCCAACCUCCCUGACUGCCUUCUCGUCCGCUCUUCUCGUCUGUGGCUGAGCACCUUGAGGUGCUGGUCCACGCUCCUGACCUGCUUCCUGCUGCAAGCCCACCACCAUCUAAAGAGUCACCCCAUCCCAUCAGCCUAGUCCUGUCUCACAUGAAUCCCACCGCAGUGGCUCUGCAAGAAAAGCCUAAACUCCUUCAAUAUGUUUUAGAAAGAUUUACAUUAUCACAAGCAUUUCAAAAGAAGGAGCGAGGCAUCGGUUAAAUUGACCAUGAAAUUAACCAUAAUCCUGCCACAAAGUAUUCAACUAAUUGAGAUUACAGUCCCCAAACUAACACAGCAUUCAGUGCAGUUACUAAAGGAGGUUAUGCAAAAUACAUGCUAUGCAAACACCUAUCUAAAAGGAAUGGAUAAGGAAAUUUUUUAAAGUUUUUCUUCCCAGUUUUACUGAGAUAUAAUUGAUG